AUAAAGCCUUCUUUGGCAAUACUUGUUACUGAAGUGACUGGCUUUCUGUGAGAGCAAGCAGCAGGACCUAGUCCAAACCCCUGGCAUUUUUGUAACUGUUACGUGCAUCCGUUUGAAGAGACCAGCAAACAGGCUUUGUGUGAGCAAUAAAGCUUUUAAUUACCUGGGUGCAAGUGUCCUGAGUCCGAAAAAGGAGUCAGCAAAGGGAGAUAGGGGUGGUGCAGUGUUAUAGGAUUUGGAGGUGGGCUUUGAUCUCUCUCUCUCUGUGGUCCACUGCCUCUGGCCUCAGCCGCAUUCCUGAUUGCCUAGGAAGAACAACCUUUGACAUUUGACAUCUGCAUCUGAAUGGGCACAUCAUUAAAAUAUCAACUUUGGCAGAGACGUGGAGCAAGAUGACUGCAUAGAAGUUUCUACUGAUCAUUUCCCACCGCUUCCACGGGAACACCAAGUUUGAUAUCCACACAAAGGGAGCACCUUCAAAGGAAGCAAAAAUCAGAUACAUUCCCAUUGAGGCACGAAAAUGGAUCUAGCCACAGCUCUGAUGAUAUUGCUUUGCCUUUAACAGUACCUCCCAUUAGUCUCUUGCACCAAGAUGCACAUUUUUCAGUUUACAUAGUGGAUUUCAUCAUUCUACUAGAAAGCCUCCACUUUGUUUCUGAUUCAGUUUCAGUUUCCAAACCAGGUGCUUUGUCCCUCACUGACUGUUUUGGAUGACCUCUAGUUUUUCCCCAAGGUUCUAAAUUUAGUUUGGCUUUUAUUUGGCCAUCAUUUUAAUUCCCACUUUUUGUUUUGGUGCUGUUGAUUGUACAAUCCAACCAUCUCUACCUUUCAAUAUUUGCAGGUUUCUUUUUUCCUGUUUGUCUUGAACAUUCUGAUUUUUCCUAACCUUUGAGUCACCUGCCUCUGUUUUACCAUGUCAUUGAAUUAUGGUUUAGUCAAGUGGAAAGACAAGCUCCUGUCACUGCCUAUAGCACUGCCUAGUUUCCUUCCAAUUAUCAAUAAAAUUCUUUGUUAUUAGGUUUCUUCUGUUCCACUAUAAGCUCAAGUAAUUCACAACAAUAAAACAAGACAAAAAUAAUUAACAUUCACGAGAAUAAAGAGCAGCCAUUAAAUCAUGAAGUUAUCAGGGUAAGUAUGCCUUUGAGAUGGUCUGUGCCUCUCUGACCUUCUGUUCUGGAACUGAUGUACCCAAUCAGUCAAUUUUACUGAUGUACAACAAAUUAUGUUCUAUAUAUUUUUUCAAACCAUUGAUGAAAUUUGAACACUGAGGCUACCAACUUCUCUCUCUGUACUUUUUGCUUAAACUGG
rnacentral:lncRNA from 10 species